UCAAGGUAACCCAGGAGCAGAUUUUAUAAUUUUCCACUCGAAGGGUCUAGAAAUCACGAGUAAGACGAUCAACGAAAAAUUAAAAGUUCAAAGAAUUAUUGAGUAUAAGGCCAGGGAUCAAGUCUACCUAGAAACUGAUCAGCCAAUGAAACCUGGAAAGACCUACAGUAUCAGGUUAAAGUUUAUGUACAACCUGACUGAAGGGCUGGAUGGGUUCUACCUGUCAACCUACAAGGAUAAAGAUGGACAAGUCAGAACCCUGGCAACAACUCACUUCGAGCCAACGUCAGCCAGGAAGGCGUUCCCAUGUUUUGAUGAACCUCAGCUUAAAGCUAAAUUCUUAAUCACCAUCACACAUUCUAGGUCCCUCCAAUCCUUUUCAAAUAUGCCAAAGAAAGAAGAAUCAGAUGUACGGGGUAAAAACGAUCAGGAGAUGAGAGUCGGAUCAACUAAAGUUCGAUCGGAGUUUAUGGAGUCUCUAGAAAUGUCGACUUACCUUGUCGCUUUUGUGGUUUGUGAUUUCGACAUUAUUGAGAAAAAAACGGACUCAAAUGUUACUAUCAGAGUAAUCGCAGCCCAUGACAAGAUAUCCCAAGCCAAGUUUGCCCUGGACCAAGCAGUUCAAAUCACCCAGAACUACGAGAGAUAUUUCGGAAUUCCGUUCCCUUUACCAAAACAAGACUUGAUAGCGAUACCAGACUUUGAGGCGGGAGCAAUGGAGAACUGGGGACUUAUAACAUACAGGGAAACAGCUUUGUUGAAUGAGGAAGGCGUAUCAAGUUCAUUAGACACACAAUGGGUUGCUGUUGUAAUUGCUCAUGAACUAGCUCAUCAGUGGUUUGGAAAUCUUGUGACUAUGCAGUGGUGGAAUGAUCUCUGGUUAAAUGAAGGAUUUGCUUCGUGGAUGGAAUACAAGGGUGUGGAUGAGGUAGAACCUGAUUGGAAAAUGAUGGAUCAGUUUUGGAUCAAUGAAGUUGAACCAGCUCUUGAUCUUGAUUCACUACAAUCCUCUCAUCCAAUUAGUGUUCAGGUUCAGGAACCCAGUGAAAUAUCAGCUUUAUUUGACUAUAUAUCAUAUAGAAAAGGAGCAUCUAUUAUUCAUAUGCUGGAACAGUUCUUAGGAGAAGAGCAUUUAAGGAAAGGACUGGAAAUAUAUCUGAAAAAGAACAAAUUCAAGAAUACUGUAACCAAGGAUCUCUGGAAUGCAUGCACUGAAGCCACCAACAACACUAAAGAUGUCAUGGGUAUGAUGAACACCUGGACCCUGCAGAUGGGGUACCCUCUGAUCAUCUUCUCCAGGAUUGGGAACUCCUCUGUCUGGAACAUAACCCAGUCAAGGUUCCUCCUGGCUGGACAGUUAAAUGGAACCAACUCUAGCCUGCCAGCAAGUCCAUACAACUAUAAAUGGAAUGUUCCGGUCAGCUUCAAGACAAAUCUAGGUCACAGCCGUGAAAUUCUUCUUGGUUCAAAGGAUAAUGACACGAGCAAGGUGGUAACCUUAGAUGAGAAGAUCAAAUGGAUAAAGGGAAACACAGAUGGGGUUGGUUUCUACAGAGUUAAUUACCCUACACAGAUAUGGACUAUGCUGAUUAAUCAGCUGAACACAGAUUUGUCUGUGUUUUCUGGAGCUGACAGAGCACAGCUGAUAGAUGAUGCUUUUUCAUUAUGUAUGGCAGGUCUACUUCCUGUGUCUGUACCUGUAUCUCUAUCUACCUAUCUUGUAAAAGAAACUGAUCUAGUUCCUUGGAAGAUAGCUUUAAGGCAUCUAAAAUCUUGGAAGGCUUUAUUAAGUGAUGGUCCUGGUGGUUCAGCAGUUGAUGCAUUUAUUAGUUUUCUUGUUGAGAAUAUAUAUAAGAAGCUAGGCUGGUUUGAGGCUGGAACUCAUGAACAAAGGUUAUUACGUACAGUUGUACUCUCAGCAGCUGUAGAUGCUGGACUAAAAGAUGCUGUGGACAGAAGUAAACAGAUCUUUACAGAUGUCAUGGAUAACCAGUCAAAAAUAUCAUCCGAACUACAGGGAUUUGUUUACUGUACAGGGGUACGUGAAGGAGGGGAGGAGGAAUGGAACUGGAUUUUUAAAAAGUACAUCUCAACAAACAUUCCGGCAGAGAAAUCCCACUUUCUCAAGGCCCUGGCCUGUUCAAAGGAUAUUUUCACACUUCAGAGAUUUCUUGAUAAAACAUUGGACAAAUCACAGAUUCGGCAUCAGGAUGUGAAAAGUGUUCUGACCAGCACAGCGAUGAAUCCAGCUGGUACACUUCUAGCUUGGAGACAGUACAGGAAAUUCUGGGACAGGUACAACAAGAUGUUUGGUGAUGGUAUGACGAACAUGGGAAAUAUUGGUGCUGGAAUCAUCUCAACCUUUUCAUCUAGCUUCGACCUAGAACAGGUUGAAGAUUUUUUCGAAAAACAUGAGACUGGGGGAGGCAAGCGAGCCAUAGAUCAAGCUGUUGAAAAGAUCAAGGUUAAUAUAAGAUUUGUCGAACUGUCGGCUGAAAGUGUGGUGGGUGAAGUAAAUAUAAUUGUUAACAGAAGAAAAAACUUGGCCUAGGAGAUUAAAGUUAAAUUUGAUAAAAAAUCUAUUUAUUUACAUGUUAAUACUGGAGUAUUACUGAUUUUAUCUACUGAUAUAUAUAUAACGCACUAAAUGUAGAAUAAAGACUACAAUAUAA